CCUACGGGUGGCAGCAGUGAGGAAUAUUGGUCAAUGGACGCAAGUCUGAACCAGCCAUGCCGCGUGCAGGAUGACGGCUCUAUGAGUUGUAAACUGCUUUUGUACGAGGGUAAACCCCGAUACGUGUAUCGGGUUGAAAGUAUCGUACGAAUAAGGAUCGGCUAACUCCGUGCCAGCAGCCGCGGUAAUACGGAGGAUCCGAGCAUUAUCCGGAGUGACUGGGUGUAAAGAGUUGCGUAGGUGGCAUAAUAAGUAGCUAGUGAAAUCUGGUGGCUCAACCAUUCAGACUAUUAGCUAAACUGUUAAGCUCGAGACCGUUAGGGGUAACUGGAAUUUCUAGUGUAGGAGUGAAAUCCGUAGAUAUUAGAAGGAACACCAAUAGCGUAGGCAGGUUACUGGGACGGUUCUGACACUAAGGCACGAAAGCGUAGGGAGCAAACGGGAUUAGAUACCCCUGUAGUC
rnacentral:rRNA from 1 species